rnacentral:rRNA from 1 species
UACGUAGGUGGCAAGCGUUAUCCGGAAUUAUUGGGCGUAAAGCGCGCGCAGGUGGUUUCUUAAGUCUGAUGUGAAAGCCCACGGCUCAACCGUGGAGGGUCAUUGGAAACUGGGAGACUUGAGUGCAGAAGAGGAAAGUGGAAUUCCCGGUGUAGUGGUGAAAUGCGUAGAUAUCGGGAGGAACACCAGUGGCGAAGGCGACUACCUGGCCUGUUCUUGACGCUGAGGCGCGAAAGCUAGGGGAGCAAACGGG